GACGAACGCUGGCGGCGUGCUUAACACAUGCAAGUCGAACGGAAAGGCCCUGCUUUUGUGGGGUGCUCGAGUGGCGAACGGGUGAGUAACACGUGAGUAACCUGCCCUUGACUUUGGGAUAACUUCAGGAAACUGGGGCUAAUACCGGAUAGGAGCUCCUGCUGCAUGGGGGGGGUUGGAAAGUUUCGGCGGUUGGGGAUGGACUCGCGGCUUAUCAGCUUGUUGGUGGGGUAGUGGCUUACCAAGGCUUCGACGGGUAGCCGGCCUGAGAGGGUGACCGGCCACAUUGGGACUGAGAGACGGCCCAGACGCCUACGGGAGGCAGCAGUGGGGAAUAUUGCACAAUGGGCGGAAGCCUGAUGCAGCAGCGCCGCGUGCGGGAUGACGGCCUUCGGGUUGUAAACCGCUUUCGCCUGUGACGAAGCGUGAGUGACGGUAAUGGGUAAAGAAGCACCGGCUAACUACGUG
rnacentral:rRNA from 1 species